rnacentral:rRNA from 1 species
UACGAAGGGGGCGAGCGUUGUUCGGAUUUACUGGGCGUAAAGGGCGCGCAGGCGGCUCAUUUUUGUCAGGCGUGAAAGCCCCGGGCUUAACCUGGGAACUGCGCUUGAGACGGGUGGGCUAGAGGUAUGCAGGGGAGAAUGGAAUUCCUGGUGUAGCGGUGAAAUGCGCAGAUAUCAGGAGGAACACCGGUGGCGAAGGCGGUUCUCUGGGCAUUACCUGACGCUGAGGAGCGAAAGCAUGGGGAGCAAACAGG